UACGUAGGGACCGAGCGUUGUCCGGAUUCAUUGGGCGUAAAGAGCUCGUAGGCGGCUGUUCAAGUCGAACGUGAAAACUCGGAGCUCAACUCCGAGCCUGCGUUCGAUACUGGACGGCUAGAGUCUGGUAGGGGGAUCUGGAAUUCCAGGUGUAGCGGUGAAAUGCGUAGAUAUCUGGAGGAACACCGGUGGCGAAGGCGGCUUCCUGGCCUGUUCUUGACGCUGAGGCGCGAAAGCGUGGGGAGCGAACAGGAUUGAGAA
rnacentral:rRNA from 1 species